CAGCCGCCGCGGUAAAACGAAGGGGGCUAGCGUUGCUCGGAAUUACUGGGCGUAAAGGGAGCGUAGGCGGGUUAUCAAGUUGGAGGUGAAAGCCCAGGGCUCAACCUUGGAAUUGCCUUCAAAACUGAUAGCCUAGAGUAUGAUAGAGGUAAGUGGAACUCCGAGUGUAGAGGUGAAAUUCGUAGAUAUUCGGAAGAACACCAGUGGCGAAGGCGACUUACUGGAUCAUGACUGACGCUGAGGCUCGAAAGCGUGGGGAGCAAACAGGAUUAGAUACCCCAGUAGUCCCUGUCUCUUAUAC
rnacentral:rRNA from 1 species